GAUUUAUUUAGUUAUGUAUUUCUGUAUUUCCACAUUUGUUUAUUUCUGUGUCCAUUUUGUCAGUGGAAAAGUAUAUAUGUAAAUUAAGUGGGCAGUCCUAACUCCACUCUGAAGCAGGAUUGGUUUAUGUGGGUUAACCACACCAGA